GGGUUGUGAGGUUAAGCGACUAAGCGUACACGGUGGAUGCCCUGGCAGUCAGAGGCGAUGAAGGACGUGCUAAUCUGCGAUAAGCGUCGGUAAGGUGAUAUGAACCGUUAUAACCGGCGAUUUCCGAAUGGGGAAACCCAGUGUGAUUCGUCACACUAUCAUUAACUGAAUCCAUAGGUUAAUGAGGCGAACCGGGGGAACUGAAACAUCUAAGUACCCCGAGGAAAAGAAAUCAACCGAGAUUCCCCCAGUAGCGGCGAGCGAACGGGGAGGAGCCCAGAGCCUGAAUCAGUGUGUGUGUUAGUGGAAGCGUCUGGAAAGGCGCGCGAUACAGGGUGACAGCCCCGUACACAAAAAUGCACAUGCUGUGAGCUCGAUGAGUAGGGCGGGACACGUGGUAUCCUGUCUGAAUAUGGGGGGACCAUCCUCCAAGGCUAAAUACUCCUGACUGACCGAUAGUGAACCAGUACCGUGAGGGAAAGGCGAAAAGAACCCCGGCGAGGGGAGUGAAAAAGAACCUGAAACCGUGUACGUACAAGCAGUGGGAGCACGCUUAGGCGUGUGACUGCGUACCUUUUGUAUAAUGGGUCAGCGACUUAUAUUCUGUAGCAAGGUUAACCGAAUAGGGGAGCCGAAGGGAAACCGAGUCUUAACUGGGCGUUAAGUUGCAGGGUAUAGACCCGAAACCCGGUGAUCUAGCCAUGGGCAGGUUGAAGGUUGGGUAACACUAACUGGAGGACCGAACCGACUAAUGUUGAAAAAUUAGCGGAUGACUUGUGGCUGGGGGUGAAAGGCCAAUCAAACCGGGAGAUAGCUGGUUCUCCCCGAAAGCUAUUUAGGUAGCGCCUCGUGAAUUCAUCUCCGGGGGUAGAGCACUGUUUCGGCAAGGGGGUCAUCCCGACUUACCAACCCGAUGCAAACUGCGAAUACCGGAGAAUGUUAUCACGGGAGACACACGGCGGGUGCUAACGUCCGUCGUGAAGAGGGAAACAACCCAGACCGCCAGCUAAGGUCCCAAAGUCAUGGUUAAGUGGGAAACGAUGUGGGAAGGCCCAGACAGCCAGGAUGUUGGCUUAGAAGCAGCCAUCAUUUAAAGAAAGCGUAAUAGCUCACUGGUCGAGUCGGCCUGCGCGGAAGAUGUAACGGGGCUAAACCAUGCACCGAAGCUGCGGCAGCGACGCUUAUGCGUUGUUGGGUAGGGGAGCGUUCUGUAAGCCUGUGAAGGUGUGCUGUGAGGCAUGCUGGAGGUAUCAGAAGUGCGAAUGCUGACAUAAGUAACGAUAAAGCGGGUGAAAAGCCCGCUCGCCGGAAGACCAAGGGUUCCUGUCCAACGUUAAUCGGGGCAGGGUGAGUCGACCCCUAAGGCGAGGCCGAAAGGCGUAGUCGAUGGGAAACAGGUUAAUAUUCCUGUACUUGGUGUUACUGCGAAGGGGGGACGGAGAAGGCUAUGUUGGCCGGGCGACGGUUGUCCCGGUUUAAGCGUGUAGGCUGGUUUUCCAGGCAAAUCCGGAAAAUCAAGGCUGAGGCGUGAUGACGAGGCACUACGGUGCUGAAGCAACAAAUGCCCUGCUUCCAGGAAAAGCCUCUAAGCAUCAGGUAACAUCAAAUCGUACCCCAAACCGACACAGGUGGUCAGGUAGAGAAUACCAAGGCGCUUGAGAGAACUCGGGUGAAGGAACUAGGCAAAAUGGUGCCGUAACUUCGGGAGAAGGCACGCUGAUAUGUAGGUGAAGUCCCUCGCGGAUGGAGCUGAAAUCAGUCGAAGAUACCAGCUGGCUGCAACUGUUUAUUAAAAACACAGCACUGUGCAAACACGAAAGUGGACGUAUACGGUGUGACGCCUGCCCGGUGCCGGAAGGUUAAUUGAUGGGGUCAGCGCAAGCGAAGCUCUUGAUCGAAGCCCCGGUAAACGGCGGCCGUAACUAUAACGGUCCUAAGGUAGCGAAAUUCCUUGUCGGGUAAGUUCCGACCUGCACGAAUGGCGUAAUGAUGGCCAGGCUGUCUCCACCCGAGACUCAGUGAAAUUGAACUCGCUGUGAAGAUGCAGUGUACCCGCGGCAAGACGGAAAGACCCCGUGAACCUUUACUAUAGCUUGACACUGAACAUUGAGCCUUGAUGUGUAGGAUAGGUGGGAGGCUUUGAAGUGUGGACGCCAGUCUGCAUGGAGCCGACCUUGAAAUACCACCCUUUAAUGUUUGAUGUUCUAACGUGGACCCGUAAUCCGGGUUGCGGACAGUGUCUGGUGGGUAGUUUGACUGGGGCGGUCUCCUCCUAAAGAGUAACGGAGGAGCACGAAGGUUGGCUAAUCCUGGUCGGACAUCAGGAGGUUAGUGCAAUGGCAUAAGCCAGCUUGACUGCGAGCGUGACGGCGCGAGCAGGUGCGAAAGCAGGUCAUAGUGAUCCGGUGGUUCUGAAUGGAAGGGCCAUCGCUCAACGGAUAAAAGGUACUCCGGGGAUAACAGGCUGAUACCGCCCAAGAGUUCAUAUCGACGGCGGUGUUUGGCACCUCGAUGUCGGCUCAUCACAUCCUGGGGCUGAAGUAGGUCCCAAGGGUAUGGCUGUUCGCCAUUUAAAGUGGUACGCGAGCUGGGUUUAGAACGUCGUGAGACAGUUCGGUCCCUAUCUGCCGUGGGCGCUGGAGAAUUGAGGGGGGCUGCUCCUAGUACGAGAGGACCGGAGUGGACGCAUCACUGGUGUUCGGGUUGUCAUGCCAAUGGCACUGCCCGGUAGCUAAAUGCGGAAGAGAUAAGUGCUGAAAGCAUCUAAGCACGAAACUUGCCCCGAGAUGAGUUCUCCCUGACUCCUUGAGAGUCCUGAAGGAACGUUGAAGACGACGACGUUGAUAGGCCGGGUGUGUAAGCGCAGCGAUGCGUUGAGCUAACCGGUACUAAUGAACCGUGAGGCUUAACCUUACAACGCCGAAG
rnacentral:rRNA from 1 species